AUACGUAGGUGGCAAGCGUUGUCCGGAUUUACUGGGCGUAAAGGGAGCGUAGGCGGAUACUUAAGUGGGAUGUGAAAUACCUGGGCUUAACUUGGGUGCUGCAUUCCAAACUGGGUGUCUAGAGUGCAGAAGAGGAAAGCGGAAUUCCAUGUGUAGCGGUGAAAUGCGUAGAUAUAUGGAGGAACACCAGUGGCGAAGGCGGCUUUCUGGACAAUAACUGACGCUGAGGCUCGAAAGCGUGGGGAGCAAACAGGAUUAGAUACCCUGGUAGUCCACGCCGUAAACGAUGGGUACUAGGUGUAGGAGGUAUCGACCCCUCCUGUGCCGCCGUUAACACAAUAAGUACCCCGCCUGGGGAGUACGGUCGCAAGAUUAAA
rnacentral:rRNA from 1 species